CACUCUCACCCCCUCCCCUCUCUUUUCUCUUUAUAAAGCUGCUAGAUUCAUAUUAUAAAUUGUAGAGUGGUCCAUAUGAACUUAAUUUGAAGUUGCAUAUGCUUAUUUCUUUCUUUCUCAAUUCUCUUCUCUUCUUCUCUAUAUAAUAUAUCUCUCUACCUAGCUUUUUUUUUCCUCUCAUUAAGUGCUUCUUCAACACAAACUUAAUUAACUUGCCUCAUCAAAUGUGAGAUCUGAAGUCCAAUUUUUGUUUUUAAGUCCUGGUCAUGCUUUUCCACAGCUUUCUUGAACUUCUUUUGCAUCUUAAAUCUUUCCAAAUUCAAGAUUAAUAGCCCUAGAAGAAGCUCAAGAAAGCUGUGGGAGAAUAUGGCAAUCAGGCUUAUUAUUUUUGCUAGAUGCAGAAUUUACUUACUACAAGAUGGUACACGUUUGAGCCAUGCAAGAUGGGAGUAGAAGAUUACAAUAUAGAUUUGUAUUUAUUUAUAUUAAAUUAUGAAAAAUUGAAUGUUUCCUAGUUGUCUGUAGAAUUGGGUGAAGUUUCCAAUUAACUAAUUUACUAGUAAAAAUGUGAUUCAUUCAAUCAAAUGGUGAAAGGAAAAGAAAAAAAGUAUUUUGUGUUUGCAGAGAAGAUUCCCUCACUUUUCCUUUUUAUUAUUAAUGAUGAUAGUUCUUCUUGUUGCCCUUUUAGUUUAAUCUUCUCCUACAUUUCUGUGAAAAAGGUUAACCUUUGUCAUUACAUGACAUCAUAUAUUUUUUUAACCACUCCUCUCUCCUGACAUCAUUUGCCGUAUUGAUUUUAACACCCCCCCACCCCAUCUUCUCUCCUCUCUCUCCCUCCCCUCUUACUCUGUCUCAAAUCUUAAUGUCUCUUUCUCUCUACAUACCAACUUGGUGCUGAAAUCUUUGCUAAUUUAUUUUUCAAAUAUACAACCUCUUCUUGCUUUCUAUCAUCAUUUUAAUUUACCGACCCCAAUAUUAUGAAAUUGCAAUUGUAGAUGAAUGUAAUUUAAUACUAUGGUUUGAAUUCAUAUUAAUGAUAUUAUUGCAGUUUUACA